GGGUACCCGUAUCGUUCUAUCACUAAGUAUUUAUAAGUGGGAAUUGCGAUAAUAAAUAUUAAAUAUAUGUACAUAGGCCAGGUUGGGGUUUCGAUUUAUAUAGAUAACAAACAACGCCACUGUUUGUUUCGAUCGAAAUCCGUAUCAAGGAAAAAUUUUCCACUUUUGCAAUAGUAUCAGUACCAGACACUUUCGCCGUAGAUAACAAACAACGCCGCUAUUUGUCUCGAUCGAAAUCCGUAUCAAGGAAAAAUUUUCCGCCUUUGUAAUAGUAUCAGUACCAGACAUUAUUUCGCGGUUUAGUCAUCGCUCUCAAUUGGUACCUGUGUGAGGGGUAUCGGUGCAAUAUUACAUAGUUAUACGAUUAAUAUCAAGAAAAAUCAAUGGAAGAUAUAACACCCCUUACAAAUCUUCAACAGUUGUAAAUACAUAUAUGUAUGUAUAUUUCUUCAGUGAAUAUUUCCAUUGUAUGAGUUUCCGUUUUUAAUUGCGAAUCACUGAGUUAAUGGCUCAGGCGAGGUGAUUCAAAAUAGUGGGAAAAAUAGAAGACCCCCUACGCAGAAAGAAGUUCUGCGUAAAAAUACUAUAACACAUAAAUGGCAGAGACCUACAGUUUUACGUCGACUCCGAACGUCUAUUGUAUUUUUAUGAGAAGCUGUUGGCACGAUUACGAUAACCGGGCGACUAAUUUUGAACAAAGACGUCAAUAGAGGUUUUUGAAGCAAGUAU